rnacentral:rRNA from 1 species
GUAGUUAGCCGUGGCUUCCUCACAAGGUACCGUCACUUUCUUCUUCCCUUGCGACAGAGGUUUACAACCCGAAAGCCUUCUUCCCUCACGCGGCGUUGCUGGGUCAGGCUUGCGCCCAUUGCCCAAUAUUCCCCACUGCUGCCUCCCGCAGGAGUCUGGACCGUAUCUCAGUUCCAGUGUGGCCGAUCAGCCUCUCAGCUCGGCUACCCAUCGUCGACUUGGUGGGCCGUUACCCCGCCAACUAUCUAAUGGGACGCGAACCCCUCUUAUACCGGAUUGCUCCUUUGACCUCAUCCCGAUGUCGGGUCGUGGUCUUAUGCGGUAUUAGCAGAUGUUUCCAUCUGUUAUCCCCCUGUCUGGGACAGAUUGUUCACGCGUUACUCACCCGUCCGCCGCUAAAACAAAAACCGAAGCUUCUGUCUCCGCUCGACUUGCAUGUGUUAGGCACGCCGCCAGCGUUCGUCCUGAGCCAGAAUCAAACUCUGA